AUAGCAACUGUUGUAGGAAGCGCUGUUGGUGCUAUUGUUGUGAUUGUUAUCGUUAUAAUUCUCAUCAUCUUCUUUUACAAGCGAAGAAGCGAUGAAUCAGCCACUACUAAGUCUAAAGGGAAGGAGUCCGAUUCGUCUCCGCAGUAUGAGAACCCUGUAUUUGAUCAGUCAAAGACAGAC